rnacentral:rRNA from 1 species
UACGGAGGUGGCAAGCGUUGUUCGGAAUUACUGGGCGUAAAGGGCGUGUAGGCGGUUGGUCAAGUCUGAUGUGAAAGCCCGGAGCUCAGCUCCGGAAGGGCAUCGGAAACUAGCCAGCUGGAGCGCGAUAGAGGAGGGCGGAAUUCCUGGUGUAGCGGUGAAAUGCGUAGAUAUCAGGAGGAACACCGGCGGCGAAGGCGGCCCUCUGGAUCGUUGCUGACGCUGAGACGCGAAAGCGUGGGGAGCAAACAGG